UGUAGUCAUAUGCUUGUCUCAAAGAUUAAGCCAUGCAUGUCUAAGUAUAAGCAAUCUAUACAGUGAAACUGCGUAUGGCUCAUUAAAUCAGUUAUCGUUUAUUUGAUAGUACCUUGCUACUUGGAUAACCGUGGUAAUUCUAGAGCUAAUACAUGCUAAAAACCUCGACUUCGGAAGGGGUGUAUUUAUUAGAUAAAAAACCAAUGCCCUUCGGGGCUCCUUGGUGAUUCAUGAUAACUUAACGAAUCGCAUGGCCUUGUGCCGGCGAUGGUUCAUUCAAAUUUCUGCCCUAUCAACUUUCGAUGGUAGGAUAGUGGCCUACCAUGGUUUCAACGGGUAACGGGGAAUUAGGGUUCUAUUCCGGAGAGGGAGCCUGAGAAACGGCUACCACAUCCAAGGAAGGCAGCAGGCGCGCAAAUUACCCAAUCCCGACACGGGGAGGUAGUGACAAUAAAUACUGAUACAGGGCUCUUUUGGGUCUUGUAAUUGGAAUGAGUACAAUUUAAAUCCCUUAACGAGGAACAAUUGGAGGGCAAGUCUGGUAAUCG
rnacentral:rRNA from 1 species